UUAGUACUUCCUCCGUUCGAAAUUACUUGUCAUAUGGAUGUAUCUACAACUAAAAUAUAUCUAGAUACAUUUAUUUUUUGAAUGAGUAAUUCCGAACGGAGGGAGUAUGUA
rfam:Triticum aestivum genome assembly, contig: Triticum_aestivum_CS42_TGACv1_scaffold_592821_7BS